rnacentral:lncRNA from 1 species
UCCUGAACGCCCCCUUCCCCCUGUCUUUUCGGCGGGGCUUUGGGAGUUUGCAGGGUGUUCUGAGUGUUUGGGCCUCAGGGAUUCUCACCUCCGGGAGAUUCCAGGAGCUGUAGGGGGUGGAAUGCGAGUAGGAGGAGAGGUGGAUAUCGUGGCCUGCUGAUGGUUUUGGAGCCCAGGUCCAGACAUUUCUUGAUUGAAGUAGACAUUCAAGAAGUGUGAAAUGCACAGUCAGAAAAUCUGGGACUUCUCUUUUUCCUUGUCAGAAUCAGGAUUGAAAAAUGAUUCAGCGGGGAAUAGCUUCUUUACAGUGAGAGCCCGUGUUAUUGAUUUUUGUGUCUGUAUACAACCUAAAAGAAUGGAGGCGUGUGUCCCUCUCUUUCGGAAAUAAUGAUAUCAUCCAUGUGUAAUUAAUUAUGUGGGGCCCAUGUUGGAAGACUGUGUAGCCAGCUCUUGGCUGUCGAAGCACUGACUACAUGGAUUUAACCUGCCAUUGACAGUGGCGCCAUUUUUCUGGUCCUCCAGAGGAACAUAAACCUGUCCAUUUUACUCAUCUUGAAGGAGUUUUGGCAAAACAUGUAUUAGGGCAGAAAAUGAAACCUCACUAGAGCUCCCUUUGCACUGGAAGGCUGGAGGAAUUUCGUGGACUUGGAGGCUCUGCCCUGUGCUCCACGGCCACAAGCCCUUAAGUGUUGUCUCCACAGCAUUUGCAUUUGCUGUCCUCAAAGCCCCGCUCCUCCCUCUCCCGUCGCUGUCCUCAAAGCCCCGCUCCUCCCUCUCCCGUCGCUGUCCUCAAAGACCCACUCCUCCCUCUCCCAUACACGAUUUUGAGCUAUAUCCUUAAUAUCCAGGUUCCUUUGUGUUUCCUGGUAAUGGGUAGAAGUGCAAGGGGAUUUCAGCUCCCAAGAGACAGGGUUUCCCCGUGCCUAAGACCCCAGGGUUGAUGCUACUCUGUCAUCAAGUGGUGACUGUGACUCUUCCCCCCGCAACCUCAGGAGGUUUUUUUGGACUUCAUCCCAGAUCCUGAGCUGGAGCUGGUCCUGGGAUGCAGAGCGUGCCUGUCCUAGUGAACUGAAGUGUCUCCAAAAGGGUUCCUGAAAACAGAACAAAGUUGCCCAGCCAGGCACGCAGGCCAGGGCAGGAAACUGGCCUUGGGGCCACCUCCGCUCAGGAUGGGGUGGAGGCAAACAGACUUGUGCGUCAUCCUUCACAAAGAAGGUUCUCUCAGAUAUUUGGAUUUCCUUGAGGAGCCCUCAAAGCAAUAAAAUAAUAUGUCCUUCAGACUGAGAACACUGACCGUGUCUGCAAGGCAGAGUGGGGCGCCGCAUGAGGUCUGCAUCUCAGAGGCUCCAGGCAGGAGUCUGGCUCUACUUGUUUUUCAGAGUAUUCUCUGGGAGGCACACACCUUUCCCAUUUUCUGGUGUGCCCAGCAAUAGGACGUCGUGUUAUCUUUCCUGAGGGUCGGACAGACGUUCGCUUGUGAGGGUAGGAUCCUGCUCCCUUCAUAGUAAGCAGAAAAUCCAGUCAUAUUGCACUAUGGGGGCCCAAUCUUUUUCUACUUUGGUGAAAUGUCCUGAAUCUCACCUCUGAGAAUACCUUUCUUGCUGUGUCCUGGCAUAGCUUCCUGAAACUGUCGGAAGAGGUCUUUUAUUCCUUAUUGAUAAUCUGGAAAUAGGGCUCUUUUGAAAACCUUUUUUUGUUUUUCCAAAGGAAAAAAAAAACCCAAAGAAGAUAAAACACUGAAUUAAAAAGAAAUAGACUCUUUGUGGCCGUCUAUAUUUUCCAAGGUUUCAUGUUUUUAACAAUGAAUAUGUAUUAUUUUGCAAUCGGAUACAAGCUGGGCUUUGUUUGUAAUUGACAACAGAGGGCUAUCAGCCCAGCUACCACUGGAAGCAGAGUGGUAUUUCAGAGUUUGUUCUCUCUCCCCACCACCUUUGGGGCGUCUGCUUCAUGUAAUUCCCACCCAGAAGCUCCCCUAAUGAGGGGUGCUCAUUCAAGGUCUCCCACAAGGAACAAAGCAUUUUCACAUUUUCCAAAGUCCGUUUCAUUGUUGAAAUAUUGUAAUAGAAAGCAGGAUAUAUUUGCACUGUAAUUUUAGAGCAAUUUUGGAAGUAGAAACAUUUUGUGGGUCUCAUCUCAUAGACCUAUGUCCAUCCAGGAACUUCCUAUCUUUCUUUUAAAAGAAAAGAUGUCAGGUUUGUCAAAGAUCAGAUGGUUAUAGAUGUGUGGUGUUAUUUCUGAGGCCUCUGUUCUGUUCCAUUGGUCUAUAUGUCUGUUUUGAUACCAGUACCAUGCUCUUUUGGUUACUGUAGCCUUGUAGUAUAGUUUGAUGUAGUAUAGUCAGGUAGC